CCUACGGGAGGCAGCAGUGGGGAAUAUUGGACAAUGGGCGAAAGCCUGAUCCAGCAAUGCCGCGUGAGUGAUGAAGGCCUUCGGGUCGUAAAGCUCUUUUACCAGGGAUGAUAAUGACAGUACCUGGAGAAUAAGCUCCGGCUAACUCCGUGCCAGCAGCCGCGGUAAUACGGAGGGAGCUAGCGUUGUUCGGAAUUACUGGGCGUAAAGAGUACGUAGGCGGUUAUUCAAGUCAGAGGUGAAAGCCCGGGGCUCAACCCCGGAACUGCCUUUGAAACUAGAUAACUAGAGUCUUGGAGAGGUUAGUGGAAUUCCGAGUGUAGAGGUGAAAUUCGUAGAUAUUCGGAAGAACACCAGUGGCGAAGGCGACUAACUGGACAAGUACUGACGCUGAGGUACGAAAGCGUGGGGAGCAAACAGGAUUAGAUACCCUGGUAGUCCACGCCGUAAACGAUGAUAACUAGUUGUUCGGUCACUUGGUGACUGAGUGACGCAGCUAACGCAUUAAGUUAUCCGCCUGGGGAGUACGGUCGCAAGAUUAAAACUCAAAGGAAUUGACGGCUGAGACNGCGAGCGACACGAGGAGAG
rnacentral:rRNA from 1 species